rnacentral:rRNA from 1 species
AUUUUGGGCAAUGGGCGAAAGCCUGACCCAGCAACGCCGCGUGAGGGAUGAAGUACUUCGGUAUGUAAACCUCGAAAGAAUGGGAAGAAUAAAUGACGGUACCAUUUAUAAGCUCCGGCUAACUACGUGCCAGCAGCCGCGGUAAUACGUAGGGAGCAAGCGUUGUUCGGAUUUACUGGGCGUAAAGGGCGCGUAGGCGGCGCGGUAAGUCACUUGUGAAAUCUCUGAGCUUAACUCAGAACGGCCAAGUGAUACUGCUGUGCUAGAGUGCGGAAGAGGCAACCGGAAUUCUUGGUGUAGCGGUGAAAUGCGUAGAUAUCAAGAGGAACACCUGAGGCGAAGGCGGGUUGCUGGGCCGACACUGACGCUGAUGCGCGAAAGCCAGGGGAGCAAACG